GGUGAGGUGCGAGAGUGGUUUAAUCGGCUCGCUUGGAAAGCGUGUAUGGCGGCAACGUCAUCGAGGGUUCGAAUCCCUCCCUCACCG
rfam:Microgenomates (Woesebacteria) bacterium GW2011_GWC1_38_13 TS75_C0005, whole genome shotgun sequence.